AGGUAGGAAAACAGUUGUAGCCUUGUUUUUCUAAAAUGUAAUUAAAAGUGGCUGUUUGAAGUAUUUUUCCACAAGGCUCUGUCAUUCUCAGCCAGCAAUUGUCAAGCCUAUUAAGAGGGGGCACUUAAGAGGCCAAAAAAUUCUCUGCCUUUUUUUUCCUGCUUCCUUCCUGUGAUGUUUGAUCUAUAGCACCCGUAGAACUCUGUGUCCCAGAGCCACAUUGUGGAGUGUGAUCAUUCUGUUUGGAUUCUUGCAGCCACCCCAGGCACUUCAGUACCCAGUGCUCCACUUGGCCGUGCAGGUUGUACAGCACCAGUUGCCUCCAGGUCAUCACAGAGCGCACCUGAGGAAGAGCAAUGGCCACCAGCAGAUCUGGGCCUUGCAGUCGAGCAAAUGAUUCGGGAGAUCAGGAGGUCCCUGUCUGAAAGAUCUCCCUCUGCUCAGGACAAUAUUGGUGUUGCCCCUGAAUCUUCAGGACGGGAGGCUGUGGACAGAGCUGCAGCAGAGGAAACUUCAUCUGGCACCGAGAGCUGCAGGAGCAGUUCCCCAGAGCCUGAGGAGCCUGAUCCCGUGUGACCGACCUCUCCAGAAGGGCUGCCCUAUGUGGCAGGAAGAGACAGAGGGAGAGCCUGUGACCAUCAGGCAGGUAGAAUUCCUCUGUCUCUAGUUAUAUUUAUAGAUAUGUAUAGUUUAUUUAGGUAGUGGUAUUUAUAGAUUCAUAUAAUUAUUGUUAGAGAGCUGUACAGUUAAUUAUUUUUUUAUUUUAGAUAUAUAUUGUUAUAGCUUUAGAUGUAUUGUUGUGGUUAUAGAUGUGCCCAGUUGCUUUUAUAAUUGUGUCGUUAGUUACAUUUACAUAUAUACAUUUGUAAAUGCAUAUUUAUAUUUGUAUAUGGGGGUUUAGACGCAUAGAUUGGUAUUUAUAUACACCUCUUUUUAACCUCUUGGCCUGUUCUACUUCCUCGCUCACCUCUUGCUUUUCCCCCUGUGCCCCCUGUGUCCCCUCUCCCUGGGCUGGGUCCGAGCUGGCGGCCGGGCCGGGCGCAGCAGCAGUUCCAGCCCCGAGUGUCCCUGGAGCGCUGGGAACUGCCGGUGGCCCCAGGCAGUGUCCCCUGAGGAGCUGCUGAAGGACGCUGUAAUGAAGACCACGAGGAGAGCCAGAGACUGCCAGGAGCCAGCAGGGAGAAGCUGAGUGCCAGCAGCAGGAGCAGUGAGCGGGGCCCUGCUGCUGCCAGCCUGGAGAGAGCCCGGGAGAUCUGCCAAACUUCAUCUGCAGGAUCAGAACAACUGGUGUCUUUUGGCCACCCAAAGUGGGUGUUCCCACUGAAGAUGGGACCACCUGCAGAGCAGAGGGGACCAGCUGCAGCUCCAGGCCCAGCUCUUGCUGCUCACAGCUGAGCCUGUGGCAAGCUCCAGGAGCUCCUGCCAUCUCCCUCCCUGUUGGCAGCUCUCUCCCUCCAGACCCCAGGCCCUGCCCAUCCACGUUUUUCCCUCCCAGUUCACCCCUUUGCUUUGCCUUCCCUCAUUAAACAGUUUGUCUUUUUCA